GCCCGGGUGGCUCAGUCGGUUAAGCGUCUGACUUCAGCUCAGGUCGUCAUCUUGUGUCUGUGGGUUCGAGCCCCGUGUCGGGCU
rnacentral:tRNA from 1 species